rnacentral:rRNA from 1 species
GAGCCCAAACCAAUAAAGUUUUCUUUAUUGGGGUUGCGGACAUAUCAUAACGAAGAGGUAUCGUAAUUGAAGAGGUUUGGAAAGACCCACCACAGAAGGUAAUAGUCCUGUAUGUUAAACGAGAAGACUUUAGAUAUGAUCCAGAGUACCACGGGACACGUGAAACCCUGUGGGAAGCAGGAGGGACCACCCUCCAAGGCUAAAUACUACCUAGUGACCGAUAGCGUAUAGUACCGUGAGGGAAAGGUGAAAA